GCCUGGGUGGCUCAGUCUAUUGAGUGCCUGACUUUGGCUCAGGUCAUGAUCUCACAGUUUGUGGGUUCGAGCCCCACAUCGGGCU
rnacentral:tRNA from 1 species